AGAGUUUGAUCCUGGCUCAGAGCGAACGCUGGCGGCAGGCUUAACACAUGCAAGUCGAACGGGCGUAGCAAUACGUCAGUGGCAGACGGGUGAGUAACGCGUGGGAACGUACCUUUUGGUUCGGAACAACCCAGGGAAACUUGGGCUAAUACCGGAUAAGCCCUUACGGGGAAAGAUUUAUCGCCGAAAGAUCGGCCCGCGUCUGAUUAGCUAGUUGGUGUGGUAACGGCGCACCAAGGCGACGAUCAGUAGCUGGUCUGAGAGGAUGAUCAGCCACAUUGGGACUGAGACACGGCCCAAACUCCUACGGGAGGCAGCAGUGGGGAAUAUUGGACAAUGGGCGCAAGCCUGAUCCAGCCAUGCCGCGUGAGUGAUGAAGGCCCUAGGGUUGUAAAGCUCUUUUGUGCGGGAAGAUAAUGACGGUACCGCAAGAAUAAGCCCCGGCUAACUUCGUGCCAGCAGCCGCGGUAAUACGAAGGGGGCUAGCGUUGCUCGGAAUCACUGGGCGUAAAGGGUGCGUAGGCGGGUCUUUAAGUCAGGGGUGAAAUCCUGGAGCUCAACUCCAGAACUGCCUUUGAUACUGAGGAUCUUGAGUUCGGGAGAGGUGAGUGGAACUGCGAGUGUAGAGGUGAAAUUCGUAGAUAUUCGCAAGAACACCAGUGGCGAAGGCGGCUCACUGGCCCGAUACUGACGCUGAGGCACGAAAGCGUGGGGAGCAAACAGGAUUAGAUACCCUAGUAGUCC
rnacentral:rRNA from 1 species